rnacentral:rRNA from 1 species
UAUCAGAGUGAGAUUAAGCCAUGCGAGUCAACGUAGCAAUACGUGGCACACGGCUCAGUAACACGUAGUCAACAUAACCAAAGGACGUGGAUAAACUCGGGAAACUGAGGCUAAACCGCGAUAGAUCAAGAUAUCUGGAAUGGUUUUUGAUCGAAAUCUAUAUGGCCUUUGGAUUGGACUGCGUCCGAUCAGGCUGUUGGUGAGGUAAUGGCCCACCAAACCUGUAACCGGUACGGGCUCUGAGAGGAGGAGCCCGGAGAUGGGUACUGAGAAAAGGACCCAGGCCCUAUGGGGCGCAGCAGGCGCGAAACCUCUGCAAUAGGCGAAAGCCUGACAGGGUUACUCUGAGUGACUUUCGCUAAGAAAGUCUUUUGACACCUCUAAAAAUGGUGUAGAAUAAGGGGUGGGCAAG